rnacentral:rRNA from 1 species
UACGUAGGUGGCAAGCGUUGUCCGGAUUUACUGGGCGUAAAGCGUGCGCAGGCGGUUAUGUAAGACAGAUGUGAAAUGCCCGGGCUUAACCUGGGAACUGCAUUUGUGACUGCAUGGCUAGAGUUUGGCAGAGGGGGGUAGAAUUCCACGUGUAGCAGUGAAAUGCGUAGAUAUGUGGAGGAACACCGAUGGCGAAGGCAGCCCCCCUGGGUCAAGACUGACGCUCAUGCACGAAAGCGUGGGGAGCAAACAGG